GCCUUCGUGGUGUAACGGUAGCACACUCGGCUCGUAUUCGAGAGGUCCGGGUUCGAGUCCCAGCGGGGGCA
rnacentral:tRNA from 1 species